UGGGCAGUGAGUGCUGGGCUCUACCGGCCCCAGCUCCGGGAAGCCUGGGGAAGGGAAAAGGGAGAAGUCUGACCUGGGGCCCCGGGACAGAAAAGCAGUGGUCCAGGGGUGCCCAGAACCACAAGAGCACACCUCGGAGACCAUUUGACUCCUCUGCUGGUGACUUACAAACCCACAUGGAGCUGACACUUGGAUGCCUGUGUCCUGGGGAGUCCAGGCUGGAAGCUCUUACCCACCACUGUACAGAGAGCUAAGUGAGUGAAGACUGUGGGCGAGGACACAUCCUGGCUCUGUCCACCAGGAAGAGCAAGAAGCAGUGACACCUCCAGGAACAAGAACACCUGCAGCACCUAGAUCUUGGUCUCUAAAUACCACUUUACAACAAACAUAAAUGGGGAUCCUUGGAGACAUGGCUCACUCUGGGACUGGAGUGGUAAACAUACAAGAUGAGCCAGAAGCAGCUUGUAAUGCCAGACAGUGAAGAAGUGCACAGAAGUCAGCAUGACAGGGGCAAGGGACCCAGAAACCAACCUGACCUGGCCCUGGCCAAGGCUGGAAUGUUUGAGUAACAAAGUAUAUACCAGCUGUCGCUCUCCUACUGAUUAAAGUGACUAGAAGAACCCCUCUAGGAAACGGCAGCCCACUCCGGUAUUCUUGCCUGGGAAAUCCCAUGGACAGAGUCUGAGCCUGGAGGGCUACAGUCCAUGGGGUUGCAAAGAGUCAGACAUGAGUGACUAAGCACAGAAGAGCACUUCUCCUCUAUGGGGUUUUUCCCCCAAAGCCAUAAACCCAGUCUCACUCCAAGAAAAACAUCAGACAAAUGCAAACUGAGGGACAUUCUACACAAUCCCUGGCCACCACCCCUCACAAUGGUCAAGGUCAAGGGAAACAAGGAAAGUCUGGGAACCUGUCCCAGUCGAGAGAA